GAAACCCUGUCUGAACAUGGGGGGACCAUCCUCCAAGGCUAAAUACUCGUAAUCGACCGAUAGUGAACUAGUACCGUGAGGGAAAGGCGAAAAGAACCCCGGGAGGGGAGUGAAAUAGAUCCUGAAACCGCAUGCAUACAAACAGUGGGAGCCUCGCAAGGGGUGACUGCGUACCUUUUGUAUAAUGGGUCAGCGACUUACGUUCAGUAGCAAGCUUAACCGAAUAGGGGAGGCGUAGCGAAAGCGAGUCUGAAAAGGGCGAUAUAGUUGCUGGACGUAGACCCGAAACCAGAUGAUCUACCCAUGGCCAGGAUGAAGGUGGGGUAACACCCACUGGAGGUCCGAACCCACUAGUGUUGAAAAACUAGGGGAUGAGCUGUGGGUAGGGGUGAAAGGCUAAACAAAUCUGGAGAUAGCUGGUUCUCCCCGAAAACUAUUUAGGUAGUGCCUCAUAUGGACACUUCCGGGGGUAGAGCACUGUAAUGGUUGAGGGGGG
rnacentral:rRNA from 1 species